GGGGAAUAUUGGACAAUGGGCGCAAGCCUGAUCCAGCCAUGCCGCGUGAGUGAUGAAGGUCUUAGGAUUGUAAAGCUCUUUCACCGAUGAAGAUAAUGACGGUAGUCGGAGAAGAAGCCCCGGCUAACUUCGUGCCAGCAGCCGCGGUAAUACGAAGGGGGCUAGCGUUGUUCGGAAUUACUGGGCGUAAAGCGCACGUAGGCGGAUAUUUAAGUCAGGGGUGAAAUCCCGCAGCUCAACUGCGGAACUGCCUUUGAUACUGGGUAUCUCGAGUAUGGAAGAGGUGAGUGGAAUUCCGAGUGUAGAGGUGAAAUUCGUAGAUAUUCGGAGGAACACCAGUGGCGAAGGCGGCUCACUGGUCCAUUACUGACGCUGAGGUGCGAAAGCGUGGGGAGCAAACA
rnacentral:rRNA from 1 species